rnacentral:rRNA from 1 species
CCUACGGGCGGCAGCAGUGAGGAAUCUUGGUCAAUGGACGAGAGUCUGAACCAGCCAAGUAGCGUGAAGGAUGACUGCCCUAUGGGUUGUAAACUUCUUUUAUAAAGGAAUAAAACGAGGCACGUAUGCCUUUUUGCAUGUACUUUAUGAAUAAGGAUCGGCUAACUCCGUGCCAGCAGCCGCGGUAAUACGGAGGUUACGAGCGUUAUCCGGAUUUAUUGGGUUUAAAGGGAGCGUAGAUGGGUUUUUAAGUCAGUUGUGAAAGGUUGCGGCUCAACCGUAAAAUGGCAAUUGAUACUGGCAGUCUUGAGUACAGUUGAGGUAAGCGGAAUUCGAGGUGUAGCGGUGAAAUGCUUAGAUAUCACGAAGAACCCCGAUUGCGAAGGCAGCUUACUAAACUGUGACUGACAUUGAUGCUCGAAAGUGUGGGUAUCAAACAGGAUUAGAUACCCCAGUAGUC